rnacentral:rRNA from 1 species
CAGUCGCCGCGGUAAUACGUAGGGAGCGAGCGUUGUCCGGAAUCAUUGGGCGUAAAGAGCUCGUAGGCGGCUUGGUAAGUCGGAUGUGAAACCUCCAGGCUCAACCUGGAGUCGCCAUCCGAUACUGCCAUAGCUAGAGUCCGGUAGGGGCCCACGGAACUCCUGGUGUAGCGGUGAAAUGCGCAGAUAUCAGGAAGAACACCGGUGGCGAAGGCGGUGGGCUGGGCCGGCACUGACGCUGAGGAGCGAAAGCGUGGGGAGCAAACAGGAUUAGAUACCCCCGUAGUCCCUGUCUCUUAUA